rnacentral:rRNA from 1 species
UACGGAGGGGGCUAGCGUUGUUCGGAAUUACUGGGCGUAAAGCGCACGUAGGCGGCUUUGUAAGUUAGAGGUGAAAGCCCGGGGCUCAACUCCGGAAUUGCCUUUAAGACUGCAUCGCUAGAAUUGUGGAGAGGUAAGUGGAAUUCCGAGUGUAGAGGUGAAAUUCGUAGAUAUUCGCAAGAACACCAGUGGCGAAGGCGGCUCACUGGCCCGAUACUGACGCUGAGGAGCGAAAGCGUGGGGAGCGAACAGG